AGUGAACGCUGGCGGUAGGCCUAACACAUGCAAGUCGAACGGCAGCACAGGAGAGCUUGCUCUCUGGGUGGCGAGUGGCGGACGGGUGAGGAAUACAUCGGAAUCUACUCUGUCGUGGGGGAUAACGUAGGGAAACUUACGCUAAUACCGCAUACGACCUACGGGUGAAAGCAGGGGAUUUUCGGGUCUUGCGCGAUGGAAUGAGACGAUGUCGGAUUAGCUAGUUGGCGGGGUAAAGGCCCACCAAGGCGACGAUCCGUAGCUGGUCUGAGAGGAUGAUCAGCCACACUGGAACUGAGACACGGUCCAGACUCCUACGGGAGGCAGCAGUGGGGAAUAUUGGACAAUGGGCGCAAGCCUGAUCCAGCCAUACCGCGUGGGUGAAGAAGGCCUUCGGGUUGUAAAGCCCUUUUGUUGGGAAGGAAAUCCAGCUGGCUAAUACCCGGUUGGGAUGACGGUACCCAAAGAAUAAGCACCGGCUAACUUCGUGCCAGCAGCCGCGGUAA
rnacentral:rRNA from 1 species